GCGAUCGGAGACCUCUAUCGGAAAAGACUACCCGCCGAAUUA
rnacentral:rRNA from 1 species